UUCCCCGACCAGGGAUCGAACCUGGGCCACGGCAGUGAAAGUGCCGAGUCCUAACCACUGGACCGCCAGGGA
rnacentral:tRNA from 1 species